AUUGAACGCUGGCGGCAUGCCUUACACAUGCAAGUCGAACGGUAACAGGUCUUCGGAUGCUGACGAGUGGCGAACGGGUGAGUAAUACAUCGGAACGUGCCUAGUAGUGGGGGAUAACUACUCGAAAGAGUGGCUAAUACCGCAUGAGAUCUACGGAUGCAAGCAGGGGAUCGCAAGACCUUGUGCUACUAGAGCGGCCGAUGGCAGAUUAGGUAGUUGGUGGGAUAAAAGCUUACCAAGCCGACGAUCUGUAGCUGGUCUGAGAGGACGAUUAGCAACACUGGGACUGAGAAACGGCCCAGACUCCUGCGGGAGGCAGCAGUGGGGAAUUUUGGACAAGGGGCGAAAGCCUGAUCCAGCAAUGACGCGUGCAGGGUGAAGGCCUUCGGGUUGUGAACUGCUUUUGUACGGAACGAAAAGCCACGGGUUAAUACCAUAGGGUCAUGACGGUACCGUAAGAAUAAGCACCGGCUAACUACGUGCCAGCCGCCGCAGUAA
rnacentral:rRNA from 1 species